AAAAGGUGGCUUCGGCUACCACUUACAGAUGGACCCGCGGCGCAUUAGCUAGUUGGUGAGGUAACGGCUCACCAAGGCAACGAUGCGUAGCCGACCUGAGAGGGUGAUCGGCCACACUGGGACUGAGACACGGCCCAGACUCCUACGGGAGGCAGCAGUAGGGAAUCUUCCGCAAUGGACGAAAGUCUGACGGAGCAACGCCGCGUGAGUGAUGAAGGUUUUCGGAUCGUAAAGCUCUGUUGUUAGGGAAGAACAAGUACCGUUCGAAUAGGGCGGUACCUUGACGGUACCUAACCAGAAAGCCACGGCUAACUACGUGCCAGCAGCCGCGGUAAUACGUAGGUGGCAAGCGUUGUCCGGAAUUAUUGGGCGUAAAGGGCUCGCAGGCGGUUUCUUAAGUCUGAUGUGAAAGCCCCCGGCUCAACCGGGGAGGGUCAUUGGAAACUGGGGAACUUGAGUGCAGAAGAGGAGAGUGGAAUUCCACGUGUAGCGGUGAAAUGCGUAGAGAUGUGGAGGAACACCAGUGGCGAAAGCGACUCUCUGGUCUGUAACUGACGCUGAGGAGCGAAAGCGUGGGGAGCGAACAGGAUUACAUACCCUGGUAGUCCACGC
rnacentral:rRNA from 1 species